GAUGAACGCUAGCUACAGGCUUAACACAUGCAAGUCGAGGGGAAACGACAUCGAAAGCUUGCUUUUGAUGGGCGUCGACCGGCGCACGGGUGAGUAACGCGUAUCCAACCUGCCCACCACUUGGGGAUAACCUUGCGAAAGUAAGACUAAUACCCAAUGACGUCUCUAGAAGACAUCUGGAGGAGAUUAAAGAUUUAUCGGUGAUGGAUGGGGAUGCGUCUGAUUAGCUUGUUGGCGGGGUAACGGCCCACCAAGGCGACGAUCAGUAGGGGUUCUGAGAGGAAGGUCCCCCACAUGGGGACUGAGACACGGUCCAAACUCCUACGGGAGGCAGCAGUGAGGAAUAUUGGUCAAUGGGCGAGAGCCUGAACCAGCCAAGUAGCGUGCAGGAUGACGGCCCUAUGGGUUGUAAACUGCUUUUAUAAGGAAAUAAAGUGAGUCUCGUGAGACUUUUUGCAUGUACCUUAUGAAUAAGGACCGGCUAAUUCCGUGCCAGCCGCCGCCGUAA
rnacentral:rRNA from 1 species